UACGGAGGAGGCAAGCGUUAUCCGGAAUUAUUGGGCGUAAAGCGUCCGCAGGUGGCACCUCAAGUCUGCUGUCAAAGACCGGGGCUUAACCCCAGAAAGGCAGUGGAAACUGAAGUGCUAGAGUGCAGUAGGGGUAGAGGGAAUUCCCGGUGUAGCGGUGAAAUGCGUAGAGAUCGGGAAGAACAUCGGUGGCGAAAGCGCUCCGCUGGACUGCAACUGGCACUCAGGGACGAAAGCUAGGGGAGCGAAUGGG
rnacentral:rRNA from 1 species